rnacentral:rRNA from 3 species
AGACCCGAAACCCGGUGAUCUAGCCAUGGGCAGGUUGAAGGUUGGGUAACACUAACUGGAGGACCGAACCGACUAAUGUUGAAAAAUUAGCGGAUGACCUGUGGCUGGGGGUGAAAGGCCAAUCAAACCGGGAGAUAGCUGGUUCUCCCCGAAAGCUAUUUAGGUAGCGCCUCGUGAAUUCAUCUCCGGGGGUAGAGCACUGUUUCGGCUAGGGGGCCAUCCCGGCUUACCAACCCGAUGCAAACUGCGAAUACCGGAGAAUGUUAUCACGGGAGACACACGGCGGGUGCUAACGUCCGUCGUGAAGAGGGAAACAACCCAGACCGCCAGCUAAGGUCCCAAAGUCAUGGUUAAGUGGGAAACGAUGUGGGAAGGCCCAGACAGCCAGGAUGUUGGCUUAGAAGCAGCCAUCAUUUAAAGAAAGCGUAAUAGCUCACUGGUCGAGUCGGCCUGCGCGGAAGAUGUAACGGGGCUAAACCAUGCACCGAAGCUGCGGCAGCGACGCUUAUGCGUUGUUGGGUAGGGGAGCGUUCUGUAAGCCUGCGAAGGUGGCCUGUGAGGGUUGCUGGAGGUAUCAGAAGUGCGAAUGCUGACAUAAGUAACGAUAAAGCGGGUGAAAAGCCCGCUCGCCGGAAGACCAAGGGUUCCUGUCCAACGUUAAUCGGGGCAGGGUGAGUCGACCCCUAAGGCGAGGCCGAAAGGCGUAGUCGAUGGGAAACGGGUUAAUAUUCCCGUACUUGGUGUUACUGCGAAGGGGGGACGGAGAAGGCUAUGUUGGCCGGGCGACGGUUGUCCCGGUUUAAGCGUGUAGGUGUGUGUUCCAGGUAAAUCCGGUUCACUUUAACACUGAGGCGUGACGACGAGGCACUACGGUGCUGAAGCAACAAAUGCCCUGCUUCCAGGAAAAGCCUCUAAGCAUCAGGUAACAUCAAAUCGUACCCCAAACCGACACAGGUGGUCAGGUAGAGAAUACCAAGGCGCUUGAGAGAACUCGGGUGAAGGAACUAGGCAAAAUGGUGCCGUAACUUCGGGAGAAGGCACGCUGACACGUAGGUGAAGUGAUUUACUCAUGGAGCUGAAGUCAGUCGAAGAUACCAGCUGGCUGCAACUGUUUAUUAAAAACACAGCACUGUGCAAACACGAAAGUGGACGUAUACGGUGUGACGCCUGCCCGGUGCCGGAAGGUUAAUUGAUGGGGUCAGCGCAAGCGAAGCUCCUGAUCGAAGCCCCGGUAAACGGCGGCCGUAACUAUAACGGUCCUAAGGUAGCGAAAUUCCUUGUCGGGUAAGUUCCGACCUGCACGAAUGGCGUAAUGAUGGCCAGGCUGUCUCCACCCGAGACUCAGUGAAAUUGAACUCGCUGUGAAGAUGCAGUGUACCCGCGGCAAGACGGAAAGACCCCGUGAACCUUUACUAUAGCUUGACACUGAACAUUGAGCCUUGAUGUGUAG